AGAGUUUGAUCAUGGCUCAGAACGAACGUUAGCGGCGCGCCUAACACAUGCAAGUCGCACGAGAAAGGGCUUCGGCCCCGGUAAAGUGGCGCACGGGUGAGUAACACGUAGGUAAUCUUCCCUCGAGUGGUGGAUAACCCUCCGAAAGGAGGGCUAAUACAGCAUGAGACCACGGCUUCUUCGGAAGCUGAGGCCAAAGCGGGCCUCUUAAUUAAAGCUCGCGCUUGAGGAUGAGCCUGCGGCCCAUCAGCUAGUUGGCGGUGUAACGGACCACCAAGGCAUAGACGGGUAGCUGGUCUGAGAGGAUGAACAGCCACACUGGAACUGAGACACGGUCCAGACUCCUACGGGAGGCAGCAGUGGGGAAUCUUGCGCAAUGGGCGAAAGCCUGACGCAGCGACGCCGCGUGAGUGAUGAAGGCCCUCGGGUUGUAAAGCUCUGUGGGGAGAGACGAAUAAGGGCCGGCUAAUACCCGGCUCGAUGACGGUAUCUCCUUAGCAAGCACCGGCUAACUCUGUGCCAGCAGCCGCGGUAAGACAGAGGGUGCAAACGUUGUUCGGAAUUACUGGGCGUAAAGCGCGUGUAGGCGGCAGGGUGUGUCGGAUGUGAAAUCCCGUGGCUCAACCACGGAAGUGCACCCGAAACUACCCAGCUCGAGUCUCGGAGAGGAAGGUGGAAUGCUUGGUGUAGAGGUGAAAUUCGUAGAUAUCAAGCGGAACACCGGUGGCGAAGGCGGCCUUCUGGACGAUGACUGACGCUGAGACGCGAAAGCGUGGGGAGCAAACAGGAUUAGAUACCCUAGUAGUCC
rnacentral:rRNA from 1 species